rnacentral:rRNA from 1 species
AGCGGCAGACGGGAGAGUAACACGUGGGAAGGUACCCUUUGGUUCGGAACAACCCAGGGAAACUUGGGCUAAUACCGGAUACGUCCGAAAGGAGAAAGAUUCAUCGCCGAAGGAACGGCCCGCGUCUGAUUAGCUUGUUGGUGAGGUAACGGCUCACCAAGGCGACGAUCAGUAGCUGGUCUGAGAGGAUGAUCAGCCUCACUGGGACUGAGACACGGCCCAGACUCCUACGGGAGGCAGCAGUGGGGAAUAUUGGACAAUGGGCGCAAGCCUGAUCCAGCCAUGCCGCGUGGGUGAUGAAGGCCCUAGGGUUGUAAAGCCCUUUCGGCGGGGAAGAUAAUGACGGUACCCGCAGAAGAAGCCCCGGCUAACUUCGUGCCAGCAGCCGCGGUAAUACGAAGGGGGCUAGCGUUGCUCGGAAUCACUGGGCGUAAAGCGCACGUAGGCGGAUUGUUAAGUCAGGGGUGAAAUCCUGGAGCUCAACUCCAGAACUGCCUUUGA